UACGAAGGGGGCUAGCGUUGCUCGGAAUUACUGGGCGUAAAGGGCGCGUAGGCGGCUUAGUUAGUCAGGCGUGAAAUUCCUGGGCUCAACCUGGGGACUGCGCUUGAUACGGCUAGGCUAGAGGAUGGAAGAGGGUCGCGGAAUUCCCAGUGUAGAGGUGAAAUUCGUAGAUAUUGGGAAGAACACCGGUGGCGAAGGCGGCGACCUGGUCCAUUACUGACGCUGAG
rnacentral:rRNA from 1 species